GACCCGCUCUGGUGCGAAGAGGAAUUAAGAGACGGGUGCAUCAUCACCCUCCCUCGAGGAUCUCGUGCCUGUAGCAGGGACGGACUUAUCACCGCUAGGGCUAGUUGUUCCCAUAGGUCGACCCACCGAAUUCCUCGGUGACGGUGACUGAGUCUGAGUUGUGGGUAAUCGGGACCCUCACUACCAUACUAGUCAAGCGGGAUAAGCAGUUACUUGAUGCCUUCGAUGAGGGCCUCAAGCAAGACAAUGGCGAGAUAUAACUUCUGUUGAGCCACCAACAUGAUGAGUAUGUGCAAUAAUGAAUUGGAGGAGAUGAUUGACAUCCUCAACCAGAAGAUUGAGGCCCAACACCAAGAAGCCGAGCUUCUCCACAAGGAGCUCGCGCUGGCCAAGGAGGGGUGAUUCUUAGAUUGCCGAUCAUCUUCAUAUUGCCUCAAGGGUGGGAAGUUCUCAUGUUUAACUAGUUUAAUUAUGUUUAAGUUUGUGUCUAUCUUUAACAGUCAGUGUUUAUGUUGCCAUCGAACAUAUACAUAUAUGUUUUAAUCAGUAUGUUCUAUAA